rnacentral:rRNA from 1 species
UACAGAGGGUGCGAGCGUUAAUCGGAAUUACUGGGCGUAAAGCGCGCGUAGGCGGCUUUGCAAGUCGGGUGUGAAAUCCCCAAGGCUUAACCUGGGAACUGCAUUCGAGACUGCAUUGCUAGAGUAUGGGAGAGGGAAGUGGAAUUUCCGGUGUAGCGGUGAAAUGCGUAGAUAUCGGAAGGAACAUCAGUGGCGAAGGCAAUCCCCUGGGCCUGUACUGACGCUCAUGCACGAAAGCGUGGGGAGCAAACAGG